rnacentral:rRNA from 1 species
UACGUAGGGGGCAAGCGUUGUCCGGAAUUAUUGGGCGUAAAGAGCGUGUAGGCGGUCCGGUAAGUCAGCUGUGAAAGUCAAGGGCUCAACCCUUGAAAGCCGGUUGAUACUGUCGGGCUAGAGUCCGGAAGAGGCGAGUGGAAUUCCCGGUGUAGCGGUGAAAUGCGUAGAGAUCAGGAAGAACAUCGGUGGCGAAGGCGCUCUGCUGGACCAUAACUGACACUCAGGGACGAAAGCUAGGGGAGCGAAUGGG